GAACCAAUCCCUCGCUAGCCCUACCUCGUCUCCCGUCUCCAGUCGCAGCCGUCGACGCACCCCAAUCCACCCCCGCCGCCGACGAUCUCCUCGCCCUCCUGCGCCGCCGCCCCCAACCUUCUAUUCCUCUCCGGAAUCCCAAGGGAAGGUAAGGGAAGGGAGGGCAAGGGAAGGGAAGGGAAGGGAGAGGGAGCGCCCAAAUCCACGGCGGCAUCAGCGCGCCGUCAUCGACCUGAUCCGUGUCCGUCCUCGAGGGAGGUCGGCCAUGGAGGUCCGCUCGGCCCGGCAGCAGCCAUGGACGGACGGAGACGCCCCAAACCCUACCCUCAAGGACGACGCCUCAACCUUCAACCGGAUCUUCCACCACACCACAUCGGCCUCCCUGAUUUCACGCAGGAGCUCCGAUGCUUCCAGAACGUCACCUGCUAGGUACGUCUACAUGCGUGGAGCUGUCUUCUUUUCUUACUCAAUUCAUAGUUGUUCAGUUUUAAUGUCAUUUCUGAAGUCGAAAUGCACUGAUUUUAUUAGGGAUUUUAGCACUGCUUAAAUUUAGGGGGAAAUUAAUUUUAGUUUCAGUUUGGUUGAUGGACUGGAUAUGUAGUCUAAUUCGCAAUCCCCUUUGUGACAUAUUCAGUUUGUGAUAUUUUAUAAUUGAUCAAUCUGUAACCCCUAAUUCUUUUUAAUUAAAAAUUCAGGAGGCGAAGCUCUCUUUUACGAUUUUGUGAUGUUCUUGUUGAUUGUGCCUUCAGUAUGUCUCCCUAAACUCUAGCUCGAUCAUGAGAGAGAGAGAAUUCAGAGAGGAAGAACACGCAGAGACAUUGAAGUUUUUUUUGUGCUGCGCUCUACAUCUGCAGCUUUUCUAUUUUACCCUUUUUAUUCAUCAAGAGUACACGAUCGUGCCUGAGCAACGUGCUCCACUACUGACCACGUCCAUCCCCAUGAUCCGAGCUUCACGCUAGGCCUACUACGACUAAUCCAAGGCGCACAAAACGCAACCAAUUGGCGAGGAAAAACCGCUAAUGGAAAAACGACUGGCUACUGACGAAACUGAAUGUGUCUAGCGACACUUAUCUGAAAAAUGACUAAAUUCAGAGAAGGGCGAGGGAGACAGGGUUUAAGCCAACACAGUAUUCUUGGUGGCUUCAGCAAGUAGUAAUGCAACAGGCUAAUGUGUGAUUAGUGAAAUUUGUGCAGCAAAUAGUAGUGUAGCAGGCCACGGUGUGUGAUAUUUGUAGUGCAAUGGAUGCUGAAAUCUGUGUGUGCUAUUUGUAUGUGCAAUGUGCAGGCUGUGUGCAACUUCAUGUGCAAUUUCAGAAUAGAAUACUACUGUAUCUAGCUCUGAAUUACAAGAGAUUAUUAACACUUAUAUAUUCAAUGUACAAGUUCUGAAUUAGAGUUGAUUAUGACCACUUUUGAUAAACAUCCUUAUAUGUUUGUAUUGUGUCCAAGAAGUUAUCAUCUUUCCGAAGACAAAGUACGGGUUGAGUAAGCUGUUUGGUGUUGCAAUCGGCGAGGUUGGUCACGUUGGUGGUAUUCUCUUAUGUGCACGCCUCUGAACACCCAUCAAGGGGGAAUGGAGCGUUUGUUGUACGUAAGCACAUACAGAAAUAAGAUUUUGUCUACUUCCGAGGAUAUGGUGAUAGAAACAACAAGGAUCAUGACCAGGAUAGGAGAGUACAGAGGGCUCUGCCAGUGCACUACAUCACAGAUGUCAUCUGUAGGAAUGAUGGCAUCAACUGUCAUUUGCACGUUUACAGAUUCACAAUGGAGGUGUCAUGAUCUCUAGCGGUAGCUAGCCUGGUUUGGAGGUGUUGAUCCUUCACAUCACAUUCGAAACCGUUCACUCUUUGGUUACGAUUUGGCUGCCAUGCAGCGGAAUCUGGCUAAAAAAGUGAAACCAAACAGGGCCAAAAAUUCUUCGCAUUAUUUAGGUAUGUAAGAGAAUAAUGGAGUUGUUCGAUCUGGAGUUUAUUCCAAGGUGCAAAAUUUACCAAAAUGAACUAUAAUGCUAA